UCCAGCGCACUCACCUAUCCACUAAACAGCAACUUCAAUGUUGAAAGAUUUUAUUUGUUUUUUUAAAAACACAUAAUCUAGACAAAAAUAAUGGGGGAGGUUUUGCCUAGAUUAGGUGUUUUUAAAAAAACUAAAUCUUUCAACACUGAAGUUGCUGUUUAGUGGAUAGGUGAGUGCGCUGGA